GUGUGUGUGUGUGUGUGUGUGGUGCCUUGUCUGGGCCAUAAUUAUGUACAGAUGGAAAUAUAAAUAGAUAGAGAUUAUUUUUAUUACUGACUCCUAAAUAUAUAGAUAGAUACAUGAAUAGACAAAGAUUAUCAUCACUCUUAUUAAUGGUGGCACUUCACACAGGCCCCAGAGAACAGAUCAACCAAGUUACGUCCUUCAUUGAUGGGUCGGUGAUCUACGGGUCCAGCAAGGAGGAGAGUGACGAGCUGCGUGCCUUCUCUGUCGGCUUCCUCAAGGUGCAGCGCUGCCCGGCAAACACCCAGAUUCUUACGGCCGACACCAACCAAAUUGACUGCAAGACCUCAGGAAGAUUCAAGUAUGUGUUUGUGUGAUAGAUGAGUGCAUUAGUUAGUGAAAGGAUUAUUCAGAGCCUUACACUGAUGUAUUUGAGGUGAACAUGACAACCAGAUUGACUGCAAGACCUCAGGAAGCUUCAGUAAACUUCUAACAUUACUCAUUGGCUUGUCUAAUUAACUUUGGUCAAUAUCUACUUCCAGACCAAGCAUUAACAAACCAUCAUCUCUCACAGGUGUUUCAAAUCGGUCUGGCCGCAAUGCACCAGCCGUUCGUCAGGGAGCACAACCGCAUUGCCGUCUUGCUUUCGGACCUCAAUGCCCACUGGACUGACGAGCAAGUGUUCCAAGCGGUGCGCAGGAUUGUGGGAGCAACUCUGCAGCACAUCACCUACACUGAGUUCCUCCCCUCUAUUCUUGGCCAGGUAUUCUAAUAUAAUAGUUAAAACCAUCAACAGGAUCAGGAAGAGGGAGAUGAAGUGAGGAGAGAGGAGAGGAGGCAGGAGAUAGUGGUCAAGAGCCUCAGGUGUGGGCCGGACACUCAUCCUAACCUCCUCCUUGCCUCCUCCUCACAUCCAUCCCAAUAUCACUGUUCUCUUUCUUCAUAUCUCUUCAUUUCUUCCCUGCAGUCUCCUUUCUAAAACUUUAUUCAUUCAAGAAAAGUUAUAUUAAAUAGGUCUUUGUCUGGAUUGUGUAUGUACACACACACACACACACACACACACACACACACACACACACACACAGACACACAGACACACACACACACACACACACUAGAUAGAAACUGUUUGGUAUUGUAUGCACCCUCUUAUCAUCUUUUCUCUCUUCCCCACACAGGGCAUUAUUGAGAAGUAUGGCUUGGCACUGCAAUCAUCAGGGUUCUUUGCUGGGUAUGACAUCAACAUCAACGCAGGCAUUGCCAAUUCUGUGUCGUCGCAGGCCCUCAAAUUUGUGGCCUCUCUCCUGCCAAAUACUGUGGCUUAUUUUGAUGAGGAGAAGGUGAAAGAGCGUCCCAUCACAGACACCUUCUAUGCUCCCUUUGACCUUUACAAGCCCAUUAGAGGUGGUAAGUACUUGUUAAUAUAUUUUGGUGAUAGAGAAAAGCAGGUAGACAAAAUUACAAGUAUUCAAAAUUUUUUCCUUUUUCCUUAUCUUAUUUUACUUCCUCCUCAUUGUGCCAAUUUGUUUCCUUACCUCUGCAAGUAUUGAUUAUUGUGUCUAUCUAUCCACCUGUCUGCCUGCUUGUCUAUCUGCCUGCCUGUCUACGGUCAGCGACACACACAAUCGGACCUCCUGCCGAGACACGAGCAAGAAAGUUUCCUCAUUGGCUGACGAAAUGCCCCUGGUUGUAAAGUAUGGCUGUCAUUGGCUGGAGGUCUGAUGGUGGUUGUUGAUGGCUGUAUUUGUGGUGAUGGUGAUCUAUUAUUAUUAUGUCUGUUUUGUUAUAUGUUGUGUUUAUGCAAAAUGUUUUGUGUGUUUUUGAGAAUGUGUCCUGGAAAUUUUUGGUUACAAGGAAAUGCAUAUUGAUAUACAAUGUCUCUCUCUCUCUCUCUCUCUCUCUCUCUCUCUCUCUCUCUCUCUCUCUCUCUCUCUCUCUCUCUCUCUCUCUCUCUCUCUCUC